rnacentral:rRNA from 1 species
GAUGAACGCUGACAGCAUGCUUAACACAUCAGCCAUUGAUUGGUGGCGGACGGGUGAGUAACGCGUAAAGAACUUGCCUCACAGGUAGGGACAACAUUUGGAAACGAAUGCUAAUACCUAAUACUGUGAGAGAGCUUUGCGUCCCAUUAGCUAGUUGGAGAGGUAACGGCUCACCAAGGCGAUGAUGGGUAGCCGGCCUGAGAGGGUGAUCGGCCACAAGGGGACUGAGACACGGCCCUGACUCCUACGGGAGGCAGGAGUGGGGAAUAGUGGAAAAUGGACCAAAGUCUGAAAAAGCAAUUAUGUGUGAACGAUGAAGUUUUCGGAAUGUAAAGUGCUUUUAGUUGGGAAGCGGUAACAACAGAAGAAGUGACGGCUAAAUACGUGACAGCAGCCGCGGUAAUAC